CCUACGGGGGGCAGCAGUGGGGAAUAUUGGGCAAUGGGCGCAAGUCUGACCCAGCAACGCCGCGUGAAGGAAGAAGGCUUUCGGGUUGUAAACUUCUUUUCUGGGGGACGAACAAAUGACGGUACCCCAGGAAUAAGCCGCGGCUAACUACGUGCCAGCAGCCGCGGUAAUACGUAGGUGGCAAGCAUUAUCCGGAUUUAUUGGGUGUAAAGGGCGUGUAGGCGGGAAUGCAAGUCAGAUGAGAAAACUCAGGGCUCAACCCUGAGCCUGCAUUUGAAACUGUGUUUCUUGAGUGCUGGAGAGGCAAUCGGAAUUCCGUGUGUAGCGGUGAAAUGCGUAGAUAUACGGAGGAACACCAGUGGCGAAGGCGGAUUGCUGGACAGUAACUGACGCUGAGGCGCGAAAGCGUGGGGAGCAAACAGGAUUAGAUACCCUAGUAGUC
rnacentral:rRNA from 1 species